rnacentral:rRNA from 1 species
GACGUAGGUGGCGAGCGUUGUUCGGAAUCACUGGGCAUAAAGCGCGCGUAGGCGGCUAGGUCAGUCAGGUGUGAAAGUCAGCGGCUCAACCGCUGGACUGCCUUCGAGACUGCCUGGCUUGAGCAUGGUAGAGGCUGGCGGAAUUCCCGGUGUAGCGGUGGAAUGCGUAGAGAUCGGGAAGAACAUCGGUGGCGAAGGCGGCCAGCUGGGCCAUUGCUGACGCUGAGGCGCGACAGCGUGGGGAGCAAACAGG